UGAAGCGGCAACAGCUCGAAUUUGAAAUCUGGCUUCGGCCCGAGUUGUAAUCUGUAGAGGACGCUUUUGGCGCGGUGCCUUCCGAGUUCCCUGGAACGGGACGCCAUAGAGGGUGAGAGCCCCGUAAGGUCGGACACCAAGCCUCUGUAAAGCUCCUUCGACGAGUCGAGUAGCUUGGGAAUGCUGCUCUAAGCGGGAGGUAAACUUCUUCUAAAGCUAAAUACUGGCCAGAGACCGAUAGCGCACAAGUAGAGUGAUCGAAAGAUGAAAAGCACUUUGAAAAGAGGGUCAAAUAGUACGUGAAAUUGUUGAAAGGGAAGCGCUCAUGACCAGACUUGCGCCUGGCGGAUCAUCCGGCUGUCUCAGCCGGUGCACUCCGCCUGGCGCAGGCCAGCGUCGGCUGUUGCGGGGGGACAAAAGCACUGGGAACGUAGCUCUCCUCGGAGAGUGUUAUAGCCCUAUGCAGAAUACC
rnacentral:rRNA from 1 species